rnacentral:misc_RNA from 1 species
AGUAAAUCCAAAAUAAUAAUAAUAACAAUAUUUAUCAACACACACAAAAGUGAUUUAUCACUGUCUCUCGUAUGCUUUACGUUCUGCCGAGCCAAGUCUCUAACUCACACAGCAAAUUCAAGUUCAUAGUCAUAGGUAGCAAACAAGGAAUUUAUGUAAAUAAUGGAUUCAUAAUUUCAUGAGGAUUAGCAUAUAUUUAUCAGUGGAAGGAGGAGAUUAUGCAGGGGCCAUCAAUUGCAUGCUGAAGUAACCAUAGCUUCAGGAAAUCCACAAAUAUUGCAUAUUUUCUAUAAUAUCAUAGCUGCUGACAAUGCUCAUGGAAUCAAGCUCUGUGCUUUCUGCCUUGUCUCUUGAGGGCCUAAAUGUUCUUCCACUGCCUAAGCUAUGCAUUAUCAUAGAUGAUGAAUUGAUGUCAUACUAGAGCGGUAUAUCAUACCAUUGGAGUAGGAUUAAGUAUCUCAGUACCUUUAAAACCCUGUACAUCGUCUUCCCCUUUUUCUUUAAACAUUUCCUAAAAAAC